rnacentral:rRNA from 1 species
GACAGAGGUGCCAAGCGUUAGGCGGAAUCACUGGGCUUAAAGCGUGUGUAGGCGGAUCGUUAAGUACCUUGUGAAAUCCCACGGCUUAACCGUGGAACUGCUCGGUAUACUGGCGGUCUUGAGCAACCUAGGGGCGAGCGGAACAAAUGGUGGAGCGGUGAAAUGCGCAGAUAUCAGGAGGAACACCGGUGGCGAAGGCGGUUCUCUGGGCCUGUACUGACGCUGAGGAACGAAAGCGUGGGGAGCGAACAGG